rnacentral:tRNA from 1 species
UAAAGUGUCCAGGGAUGGGAAUGGAACCCACAGUGUUCCGCUUACCGGGCAGAUGCCAUGUCCACUAGGCUACUAUUUC